CUUUAAUGAGACUGCCGGUGACAAACCGGAGGAAGGUGGGGAGUGACGUCAAGUCCUCAUGGCCCUUAUGGUAGGGCUUCACACGUAAUACAAUGGUCGGUACAGAGGGUUGCCAACCCGCGAGGGGGAGCCAAUCCCAGAAAACCGAUCGUAGUCCGGAUUGCAGUCUGCAACUCGACUGCAUGAAGUCGGAAUCGCUAGUAAUCGCGGAUCAGCAUGUCGCGGUGAAUACGUUCCCGGGCCUU
rnacentral:rRNA from 1 species